AUAUCUAUAUCUAUAUACCUAUAUAAAGUAAAAUCUCGGGCGGCCUACGUGGCGCUUCUUAUGCUCUUCAAUCAAAAUCUCUGCUCUCUGCGCUCCUUACUAUUUCUUUUAUAUUAUGCUUAUGAUCAACCCUUCUGCCUCCUUAUGCCUCUCCGCUUGCCUAGCAGUUAUGUUCAGUCUGGGACUUGGACAGACACUUCAUUUAUCCGGUUCGUAACUGAAGCCUGUGUACCUACUCGGAGAUUUUCUUAUAAAUGGCCUUCCCUGGUAACUAUUUUACUUUGUAUGUUGAUUGAUCGAGCGGGGCUCUUCGGGUUGGUCGAGCAGGGACGAUACUGAUGGAUCUCCUCACUUCGGAUUCUACGUCGGUAACGCCUGUGCUUUAGCUUUUGACCAUUGCACCAGAACUGUUUGAUAGAGUGCCUCAAUGAAGAUUUGAAUUAGCUUUCGACGAUUUUUUUUUUUAGGGUUGGGCCUGUGCUUUAGCUUUGGACGAUUGCACCAGAACUGUUUGAUAGAGUGCCUCAAUGAAGAUUUGAAUUAGCUUUCGACGAUUUUUUUUAUUUUAUUUUAUACGGUAAUCAUACUGUUCUUGUGGUGUAGAUUAGAAGUGAUUUGAGGCUUUGGCACUCUACUGGUCUAGAAGAAAUUUUGAGUUCUUAGUUUCAGUUUAUUAUGGAGAGGAGGUCUAAGUAGAAAUUGCAGUUGUUUUAAAAAGUUUGUUUCACGCCUGGUUUUAUUAUUCGAUUAUGUUGGCGGUGUUAGGACUUAAACGCUGGUUUCAAGUGCCUCUGUACUUUUAGAGCGACUCCUAAGAGCUGCAUUUCAUGUGGGUAAAAAGGUUUUUGAUAUUGAUGUUUGCAAACUUAUUGUUUCUCUGUUUUUGUUGAAGUGCCUCGAAUGAUAGUAGGCAGGCCGCAGGAAUAGGAAUAGAAUUUAUUGUUAAGCAAAAGAAAUUGAAAGGGAAAAGAUUGUAAAGAGAUUCUGGGUCAAAUGACGGAUUCAGCUAGAUGAUCAAAGCGGUUAUAGUAGGGAAUUACUGUGCAACGGGUUAAAGAGGAAAAAGUGUGAUGAGAAACACAAUCUUUUGGAGAGACUCCUAGGAGCUGCAUUUCAUGUGGGUAAAAAGGUUUUUGAUAUUGAUGUUUGCAAACAUACUGUUUCUCUGUUUUUGAUGCAGUGACUCGAAUGAUAGUAGGCAGGAUUAGGAAUAGAAUUUAUUGUUAAGCAAAAGGAAUUGAAAGGGAAAAGAUUGUGAAGAGACUCUGGAUCAAAUGACGGAUUCAGCUAGAGGAUCAAAGCAGGUAUGUAUGUUAUUCAUCUCCACGCUAGCAAAUCACGUAUAUACUUUUGCUAAUUUUCAGGGUUGAUUUGUGUUAUAUGAUCAUGAUCGUGGGCAGUUAUCUGUUUUUGAUUUAUCUGGAGAGCAUAGCAGCAGAUUUUUAGAAUCAAAACAUUCUCUGGUUUAUAAUUAUGCAUCUGUAAAGCUCAUUAGAAUAAUGUAUAUAAAUAAGCUUAGCUGCCGUUACUGUAACAUACAAAGAACAGACUCAUGAACUGCCUUUAUGUCUCCACUUGAAUCUUUUUAUCACUCUAGAGUGUUCUACUGUAAUUGUUAUAGUUUUUAUAUGUGGUUAUAGUUAUGUAAUUAAAUCAUGCAUGGUUGCAUCAUGUUCCGGGAUUUGAUGCUGCUGGAGUUGUAGAAAUUUGGUUGACAAGAAGCUGCUUAACAAAAUGCCCCCGGGUGACAACUCUGCUCCAGCAGAACUGCAAUCGCUGAUGGGUAAGGAAUAUGUGUUCAAGUUGUCACAAAACAAGUAUAAUAUUGUUGAUGACAAAUCGAGAGAAUCAUGGGCGCAAGAGAAAGCUCGCACCUGAUCUCAGGUUGCUUCUUAGAGUCAGACCUUGCACAGGACUUAAGGCCUUAUUAGCUUCAUCCAUGUUAUAGUGCCAACUUUUUAUGACUCAUGCAUGCCAUAAAACAAGGCAUAUGUAAUUAGAACCUGGCUUCUCCUUUUAUUUUUACCCUGUCACCGAUGUUUUCCAAUUGACAAUUUCCCUUACCUUC